AACCAGCACCUCAAGUGGUCAGGAUGAUUAUUGGGCCUAAAGCAUCCGUAGCCGGUUCUGUAAGUUUUCGGUUAAAUCUAUGCGCUCAACGUAUAGGCUGCCGAAAAUACUGCAGAACUAGGGAGUGGGAGAGGUAGACGGUACUCGGUAGGAAGGGGUAAAAUCCUUUGAUCUAUUGAUGACCACCUGUGGCGAAGGCGGUCUACCAGAACACGUUCGACGCUGAGGCGCGAAAGCGUGGGGAGCAAACAGG
rnacentral:rRNA from 1 species